rnacentral:rRNA from 1 species
UACGUAGGUGGCAAGCGUUGUCCGGAAUUAUUGGGCGUAAAGCGCGCGCAGGCGGUUCCUUAAGUCUGAUGUGAAAGCCCCCGGCUCAACCGGGAGGUCAUUGGAACUGGGAACUUGAGUGCAGAAGAGAAGAGCGGAAUUCCACGUGUAGCGGAUGAAUGACGUAGAGAUGUGGAGGAACACCAGUGGCGAAGGCGGCUCACUGGCCCGAUACUGACACUGAGGCACGAAAGCGUGGGGAGCAAACAG